rnacentral:lncRNA from 1 species
ACCACAAUCCUUGCUUUUUCCAAUUCUUUCGUUGUUCUUUGGAGGCGAUUCUAAAUAGAUGGCGGAAUUGCAUGUCUUAUGGUCCAGCUGCAUCAUUAAUCUAACAUCCACAUGAAGAUAAUAUUUUUGUGGAUCAAAGUUUUUUUGGUGGAACUCUUUGCCUCAAUUUAUAUUUGGGAUGAUUUUCAUUUACAUAGGAAUAGAUUUGGUUUAUCCAAG